UACGAAGGGGGCUAGCGUUGCUCGGAAUUACUGGGCGUAAAGCGCACGUAGGCGGUCUUUUAAGUCGGGGUGAAUCCUGGAGCUCAACUCCAGAACUGCCUUUGAUACUGAAGAUCUUGAGUUCGGGAGAGGUGAGUGGAACUGCGAGUGUAGAGGUGAAAUUCGUAGAUAUUCGCAAGAACACCAGUGGCGAAGGCGGCUCACUGGCCCGAUACUGACGCUGAGGCACGAAAGCGUGGGGAGCAACAGG
rnacentral:rRNA from 1 species